CAKGGGGSGGCUAWACAUGCAAGUCGAGCGAACUGAUUAGAAGCUUGCUUCUAUGACGUUAGCGGCGGACGGGUGAGUAACACGUGGGCAACCUGCCUGUAAGACUGGGAUAACUCCGGGAAACCGGAGCUAAUACCGGAUAACAUUUUYUCUUGCAUAAGAGAAAAUUGAAAGAUGGUUUCGGCUAUCACUUACAGAUGGGCCCGCGGUGCAUUAGCUAGUUGGUGAGGUAACGGCUCACCAAGGCAACGAUGCAUAGCCGACCUGAGAGGGUGAUCGGCCACACUGGGACUGAGACACGGCCCAGACUCCUACGGGAGGCAGCARUAGGGAAUCUUCCGCAAUGGACGAAAGUCUGACGGAGCAACGCCGCGUGAGUGAUGAAGGCUUUCGGGUCGUAAAACUCUGUUGUUAGGGAAGAACAAGUACAAGAGUAACUGCUUGUACCUUGACGGUACCUAACCAGAAAGCCACGGCUAACUACRUGCCAGCAGCCGCGGUAAUACSUAKGUGGCAAGYGUUAUCCGGAAUUAUUGGGCGUAAAGCGCGSGCASGCGGUUUCUUAAKUCUGAUGUGAAAGCCCACGGCUCAACCGUGGAGGGUCAUUMGAAAGUGGGGAACUUGASUGCAGAUGAWAAAAGCCAAAUUCCACUCGAAACCSUGAUAUCGUAUAG
rnacentral:rRNA from 1 species